AUGCAAAUAGCUGACCUCCGAGGUGGGGUUGCAAAGGUGAGAUGGAAUUGUGGGACUGAUGGUCAGGCAGCCACUCUGUACCUGAUCCCCCAACCCGCCCGGCCUGGUGCUGUCCUAGUGCCAGGAGCAGAGGAAGAGCUGGGGCCCAUGGCGUCAGCCCAUUCUACGGAGGUGAACAGAAGAGCGACAGACCUCAAAGAGACAGGACUCAGAUAUUCAGUGAUUGUGAUACUUCUGGCCAUGGCUCCUCAAAUACCCUCCUGCCAUAUACACCUGACUCCACCCAAGGGAUGAAGAAUCACAGGCCUGUGGUGUCACCAGGAAGAAGAUGCUGGAUGAGAGGGUAAGUUGAUAAGAGAGGAGCCAGACCAGGGUACUAAUGACUGGCUAAGACAUUGGGACAUAAGCUGGAACUUUGAUGUUGUUAUUUAAUGUACACACAUGUGUGUCUGUUUGUACACAUAUAGAUACACACAACAUUACACAAAGUUUGGGCACCUACUGUGUGCUAGGUACUGUGCUAGUGUGGAGGAUACAGACAUGACUCUAUUCCUGACUUAAAGGUUUCCCUAAGAGACAAAGGAUUGCAGGACAGUUUGAUGAAUGCCAUAGAGAGGCAUGAUCUCCUCUGCUUGGAUGUGUCCAGGAAGACUUUAAAGAGAAGGGGACAUUUGAAGUAGAUCUUAAUAAGAAUUCAAAGAUCAUCAGAAGAAGUGUGUGUGUGUGUGUGUGUGGUGGGUUAGGGCAUGCUGGGAAUGGAGAAGAAUGUUCCAGAAAGAAGGAAUUAUAUGACCAAAGACCUGGACCUGAAAAAGCACUGGAGUUUAGAAAAGUGCAGAUGGUUCUGUAUGGCUGUCAGGAGGGGGACUUGGGAUGAACGGUAUGAGAAUGGGCAGUUGAGCACAGGCUGAAUCUGAGCAGACUGAAGUUUUAAAAUUUUUCUUGUAAGGGACUGGGCAUUCUGGAAAGAGUGAAAGCAGAGAGUGUGACAAGAUCUGAAUUUGAGAAGAAGAAUGACCCAGGGAGUGUGGGGGAUGGACUGAAGGAAGGGAGACUGGGGGCAGUGAGGUGGGUUAACAGAAGUAGAGACCAAGACAAAAGUUGACAUGCAAGAGAUUCACUGGGGGAAAUACCCGACCUGUGAUGGAGAAAGAGGAGGAACAGGGUAGCGGAGGAGAGCCUUCAGGCCGUAAUGCAGGUGUGACACCUGUGAAGGAAGAGCAGGAGGGAAGGAGGGGUGAGUAGGAGGAGCCUCAGACCACAGUGCAGCUCUGAGAAAACAGCCAGGCUGACAGGAUGUUCUAGGGCUGAUGGAGUGCCCAUUAGCAACGUCCUACAUCAGGCACAAAUGGCCUGUCUCUGGUACCCCACUGUGCUCAAUCACUGGCUGGGAGUGGCCUUUGGGACAUGACCUCACUGUGAACACCUGACACAUCCAGAGGUGCAGCAGCUGGAGGCUAUCAGUCAACUAGGCUCCACGCAGCAGGUUCUCUUGAAGGAAGACCUGAGCGCACCUCCCAGCCAGUACGGAGAUCACUGCAGCAGCCCAGGCUGAACCAACACAGUACCAGGGGAGUGGAAAGAGACAUGAAAGAGGAGUUGACCUCAUUAGUACCCCUGGUCCGGGCAGGCUGUUUUCUGUCAGCCUCCUGGAAAGGCUUAAACUGCUCUCCCCAGUGGGUGUGGCUCCUGCCCCCUCCUCUUUUUCAACUGGGGCUGGAAGUCUUCCUCCCUCCACUCUUCUUGAGCACACCACAAGCUUGCUGGACGGCUUAGUCAGCUAGGGCUGUCAUAACAAGUACCACAGACUACUGGGCUUAAACAACAGAAAUUUGUUUUCUCACAAUGCUAGAGGCUAGACGUCCGAGAUCAUAGUUGGUUUCUUCUGCGGCCUCUCUCCUUGGCUUGUAGAUGGCCGCCUUCUCUCUGUGUCCUCACGUGGUCUUCCCACUGUGUGUGUGUAUCCAGUCUCCUCUUCUUAUGAGGACAUCAAUCAAAUUGGAUUAGGGCUCACCUUAGUGACCUCAUUUUUAACUUAAUUACCUAUUUAAGACCCUAUCUCCAAAUACAAUCACAUUCUGAGGUACUGGGGUUAGGACUUCAGCAUAUGGAUCUGAGGGGACACAAUUCAGCCCACAACAGUGAACUACCCCACUUCUUGUUGUGCUGAGGCUGAGGGCAUUUUACUAGAGUUUUUCCACUUUUCUUUCUUCCUGCUCAGGACCUUUCUAUGUGUUCAGUUUCUGUGCCGCUUCUGCUUUUCUUUUCCUUUACUCUCUUUUCACUGUAUGAUCAGCUUCUGCUUGUAAUUACUCUUUUCCACCUACCUGAGGGUCCUGUCUUAUCAAUUACUCAGCAUCUCCCAUCCCUCCCCUGUUUACUAGUGUGCUCAGGGUUACUCCAUCAUGAAAAAAACUUCUUUAAAACUCGUCACCUCCCCUCAACUUUGUCCUUCCAUGACAGCCUGAAGGAAACGUUCAUGCCCUUCCUGUCUGUUUUCUGAUUGCCUGGCUUUUCCCCUGUGAUUUUAUAUUAUUUUAUAUACAUGUACAGAAUAUAUAGAUUUGUUCUUAAGCAUAAACGUGUUCAUGCUGAACAGAUUGUUUUCCAACUUGUUUUCUCACUUAAAAAUGUCUUUGAGAUCUUUCUAUAUUGGUAUACCAGAUAUAUCCUGCUUGGUUUAGUUCACGCUAGAGGGUUGGAGAGGGGCGGAGGCCUCAGUGUUCUUUUCUGGAAGAGCAUAAACGUCAGUUCUGAGGUGCAGCUUGGUUGGUGAGCACGGUCCUCACUCCAGAAUGGCAGCUUAUUUGGGGGAUGUCAGUUGAGGAGAGCUGCCUGGCUGGGAGGAAGCCUGCUGGGAAAUGUCUUGGUUUUAGGUAUGAACCUAUUUUUUUAUGCACUGAAUUGUGUCCCCCACCCCAAACUUGUAUGUUGAAGUCUUAACCCCCAGUAUCUCAGAAUGUGAUGUAUUUGGAGAUAGGGUCUUUAAAGAAGCAAUUAAAUAAAAAUGAGGUCAUUAGGUGGGUCCUAAUCCA
rnacentral:lncRNA from 1 species